rnacentral:rRNA from 1 species
GUGGGGAAUAUUGGACAAUGGGCGAAAGCCUGAUCCAGCCAUGCCGCGUGUGUGAAGAAGGUCUUCGGAUUGUAAAGCACUUUAAGUUGGGAGGAAGGGCAGUAAGUUAAUACCUUGCUGUUUUGACGUUACCGACAGAAUAAGCACCGGCUAACUUCGUGCAAGCAGCCGCGGUAAUACGAAGGGUGCAAGCGUUAAUCGGAAUUCCUGGGCGUAAAGCGCGCGUAGGUGGUUUUGUAAGUUGGAGGUGAAAUCCCCGGGCUCAACCUGGGAACUGCCUCCAAAACUGCAUGACUAGAGUACGGUAGAGGGUAGUGGAAUUUCCUGUGUAGCGGUGAAAUGCGUAGAUAUAGGAAGGAACACCAGUGGCGAAGGCGACUACCUGGACUGAUACUGACACUGAGGUGCGAAAGCGUGGGGAGCAAACAGGAUUAGAAACCCGAGUAGUCC